rnacentral:rRNA from 1 species
CGUCCAGACUCCUACGGGAGGCAGCAGUGGGGAAUAUUGCACAAUGGGGGAAACCCUGAUGCAGCGACGCCGCGUGAGCGAUGAAGUAUUUCGGUAUGUAAAGCUCUAUCAGCAGGGAAGAAGAUGACGGUACCUGACUAAGAAGCCCCGGCUAACUACGUGCCAGCAGCCGCGGUAAUACGUAGGGGGCAAGCGUUAUCCGGAUUUACUGGGUGUAAAGGGAGCGUAGACGGCGAUGCAAGCCAGAUGUGAAAGCCCGGGGCUCAACCCCGGGACUGCAUUUGGAACUGUGUGGCUGGAGUGUCGGAGAGGCAGGCGGAAUUCCUAGUGUAGCGGUGAAAUGCGUAGAUAUUAGGAGGAACACCAGUGGCGAAGGCGGCUUACUGGACUGUAACUGACGUUGAGGCUCGAAAGCGUGGGGAGCAAACAGGAUUAGAUACCCGGGUA